UCAAAGUGUGGACAACAUCAAAUGCGAGCAAUAGGUAGAAUAAAUGAAGAUUAGGUCAUCCAAUAUACAUAGUUAGUGUAGGACAAUCGGGUAGUAUGAUGAAGGUAACUGUUAUUAUGAGAUACGGUUAACACAGAAGUGAUAUUGAACAUGCAAAUUUUAACAUUGUUAUUUCCCUUUUACAUCUUUUUGGUUAUAGCAACUUGGUUGCACUACGGUGUGGUUAGCUUUGGUUGUCAUUCAAUGCGCAUGGCUGAAGCAAUGCGCAAGGAGGGAUGUAGUGUGAAAUUAAACCAAAGUAGAUACUGUAAAACAAUUAAAAUUAGAAUUCAUGGAAAUAUGUUUUUGAACAACUAACUGCUGUACAUGAGUUUGUAUUUCUGCAAUAGAAACAAAAGUUCCAGAACCAGAUGCAGACACACCCGGAGCCUACAAACUACCACCGCCGAGCAAGGACUAACAGUCACAUGAGGAGAUCAAAUAACAGCAGGAUUUGAAUCGCUCCGGAUGGGUUGGUGGCCAGGGCGCUGGCCACCUGUUGCUGACACGACGACGACGGAGAACCUGUUUGGAGGCUCCCAUGAUGUAGGAGUAACCUCUCUGAGCUGAGCCCUUGACAAGGAGGGACGAGUCUUGGGUUCAUGAAUUACAGGCCCGACGGCGACAGAAAAAACAAUGGCUACGAUAAUAACAUCGCCCAAAACCACCCACAUGAAACAGCGCACCAAUACACGAAGAUCACCUGAACCCUCCAAAUCCAUGCUAGCCUAUCAAUCAUUUUGAAAUUUUAAAAUUGUAUUAUGACCACCAAUUUUUACUUUACUUUUGCACAUGUUGAAAAUUGUAUGACCUUGUAGCACAUAACCAAAAGUAUUAGCUCAGGAUUUCUAUGGAUAGUUUUGUUUGUGUGCUGUUUGACCAUAUGAUUGUAUGAUAACAAGAUAUAUGUUCAUUGUUGUAUUGUUAAACAAUGACCUGUAUUUCCAAUGAGACCCACAAUGUGAAUACCGUUUCAGUAUUAUGGGGACGCGUAGUGGUUUUUCUCUAUUCGAUAGAGUUGUUCCCACACGGUUGAUGGUGUUGAUGAUUGAUCCUACUUUGACUAUGUUUUCGGUGUGGUAAAUGGUGUUUAUGAUUUAAAA